rnacentral:rRNA from 1 species
UUCGGAGAGGGAGCAUGAGAAACGGCUACCACAUCUAAGGAAGGCAGCAGGCGCGUAAAUUACCCAAUCCUGACUCAGGGAGGUAGUGACAAGAAAUAGCAAACCGGGGACCUCACGGUCUCACGGUAUUGCAAUGAGAACAAGUUAAAACUCUUAGCGAGGAACAAGUGGAGGACAAGUCUGGUGCCAGCACCCGCGGUAAUUCCAGCUCCACUAGCGUAUACUAAAGUUGUUGCAGUUAAAAAGCUCGUAGUUGAAUUUCUGCAUGGGGCUAGUUUUGACUUCUGUCUGGCUAGUCCCAUGCAUCCGCUUGCAAGACCUGGAGGGCAUUCACUUGUCGCCAGGAGGAGUAGGCUUUUUACUUUGAAAAAAUUAGAGUGUUUAAGGCAGGCAAUCGCCCGCAUAUAUUAGCAUGGAAUAGUAGAAUAGGACACUUUUCCAUUUCGUUGGUUAUUGGAAUCGUGUAAUGAUUAAUAGGGACAGUUGUGGGCAUUUGUAUUUAAUUGUCAGAGGUGAAAUUCUUGGAUUUAUUAAAGACAAACUAACGCGAAAGCAUUUGCCAAGGAUGUUUUCAUUAAUCAAGAACGAAAGUUAGGGGAUCAAAGACGAUCAGAUACCGUCCUAGUCUUAACUAUAAACUAUUCCGACUCAAUGUUUGACUGGCCCCUUUAACCAGUUGAGCGUUGUAUGAGAAAUCAAAGUCUUUAGGUUCUGGGGGGAGUAUGGUUGCAAAGCUGAAACUUAAAGGAAUUGACGGAAGAGCACAACCAGGAGUGGAUUCUGCGGCUUAAUUCGACUCAACACGGGGAAACUUACCAGGUUAAAACAAUAGUGGGAUUGACAGCUUGAGAGCGCUUUCUUGAUUGGUUGGGUGGUGGUGCAUGGCCGUUCUUAGUUGGUGGAGUGAUUUGUCUGCUUAAUUGCGUUAACGAACGAGACCUUAACCUGCUUACUAGACUGGCGAUGCACAAUCGUCAGCUCUUCUUAGAGGGACUUUGGUUGUUUUAACUCCAAGGAAGUUUGAGGCAAUAACAGGUCUGUGAUGCCCUUAGAUAUCCUGGGCCGCACGCGUCAUACAAUGACUAGUUCAGAAAGUUUCAUCCUGACCCGGAAGGGGCUGGGUAAUCUUGUCAGUACUAGUCGUAUUAGGGAUAGAUCUUUGCAAUUAUAGAUCUUGAACGAGGAAUUCCUAGUAAGUGCGGUUCAUCAGACCGUACUGAUUACGUCCCUGCUCUUUGUACACACCGCCCGUCGCUUCUACUGAGUGAGUGGUCCGGUGAGAUACUUGGAUCAAGCGGGUUUACCCGAUUUGAGAAGAUUAUCAAACCUAUCCACUUCGAGGAAGAAGAAGUCGUAACAAGGUU